GACGAACGCUGGCGGCGUGCUUAACACAUGCAAGUCGAACGGAAAGGCCCUGCUUUUGUGGGGUGCUCGAGUGGCGAACGGGUGAGUAACACGUGAGUAACCUGCCCUUGACUUUGGGAUAACUUCAGGAAACUGGGGCUAAUACCGGAUAGGAGCUCCUGCUGCAUGGUGGGGGUUGGAAAGUUUCGGCGGUUGGGGAUGGACUCGCGGCUUAUCAGCUUGUUGGUGGGGUAGUGGCUUACCAAGGCUUUGACGGGUAGCCGGCCUGAGAGGGUGACCGGCCACAUUGGGACUGAGAUACGGCCCAGACUCCUACGGGAGGCAGCAGUGGGGAAUAUUGCACAAUGGGCGGAAGCCUGAUGCAGCAACGCCGCGUGCGGGAUGACGGCCUUCGGGUUGUAAACCGCUUUCGCCUGUGACGAAGCGUGAGUGACGGUAAUGGGUAAAGAAGCACCGGCUAACUACGUGCCAGCAGCCGCGGUGAUACGUAGGGUGCGAGCGUUGUCCGGAUUUAUUGGGCGUAAAGGGCUCGUAGGUGGUUGAUCGCGUCGGAAGUGUAAUCUUGGGGCUUAACCCUGAGCGUGCUUUCGAUACGGGUUGACUUGAGGAAGGUAGGGGAGAAUGGAAUUCCUGGUGGAGCGGUGGAAUGCGCAGAUAUCAGGAGGAACACCAGUGGCGAAGGCGGUUCUCUGGGCCUUUCCUGACGCAGAGGAGCGAAAGCGUGGGGAGCGAACAGGCUUAGAUACCCUGGUAGUCCACGCUGUAAACGGUGGGUACUAGGUGUGGGGUCCAUUCCACGGGUUCCGUGCCGUAGCUAACGCUUUAAGUACCCCGCCUGGGGAGUACGGCCGCAAGGCUAAAACUCAAAGGAAUUGACGGGGCCCCGCACAAGCGGCGGAGCAUGCGGAUUAAUUCGAUGCAACGCGUAGAACCUUACCUGGGUUUGACAUGGAUCGGGAGUGCUCAGAGAUGGGUGUGCCUCUUUUGGGGUCGGUUCACAGGUGGUGCAUGCCUGUCGUCAGCUCGUGUCGUGAGAUGUUGGGUUAAGUCCCGCAACGAGCGCAACCCUUGUUCACUGUUGCCAGCACGUUAUGGUGGGGACUCAGUGGAGACCGCCGGGGUCAACUCGGAGGAAGGUGGGGAUGACGUCAAGUCCUCAUGCCCCUUAUGUCCAGGGCUUCACGCAUGCUACAAUGGCUGGUACAGAGAGUGGCGAGCCUGUGAGGGUGAGCGAAUCUCGGAAAGCCGGUCUCAGUUCGGAUUGGGGUCUGCAACUCGACCUCAUGAAGUCGGAGUCGCUAGUAAUCGCAGAUCAGCAACGCUGCGGUGAAUACGUUCCCGGGGCU
rnacentral:rRNA from 1 species